rnacentral:rRNA from 1 species
UACGUAGGGUCCAAGCGUUAUCCGGAAUCACUGGGCGUAAAGCGUGCGUAGGUGGAUGCUUAAGUGAGUUGUUAAAUCGUGUGGCUCAACCAUAUCGAUGCAAUUCAUACUGGGCGUCUAGAGGACAGCAGAGGCAAGUGGAAUUUGUAGUGUAGCAGUGAAAUGCGUAGAUAUUGGGAAGAACACCGGUGGCGAAGGCGGCUCACUGGCUCGUAACUGACGCUCAUGCGCGACAGCGUGGGGAUCAAACAGG